rnacentral:rRNA from 1 species
AUUGAACGCUGGCGGCAGGCCUAACACAUGCAAGUCGAGCGGAUGAAGGGAGCUUGCUCCUGGAUUCAGCGGCGGACGGGUGAGUAAUGCCUAAGAAUCUGCCUGGUAGUGGGGGAUAACGUCCGGAAACGGGCGCUAAUACCGCAUACGUCCUGAGGGAGAAAGUGGGGGAUCUUCGGACCUCACGCUAUCAGAUGAGCCUAGGUCGGAUUAGCUAGUUGGUGGGGUAAAGGCCUACCAAGGCGACGAUCCGUAACUGGUCUGAGAGGAUGAUCAGUCACACUGGAGCUGAGACACGGUCCAGACUCCUACGGGAGGCAGCAGUGGGGAAUAUUGGACAAUGGGCGAAAGCCUGAUCCAGCCAUGCCGCGUGUGUGAAGAAGGUCUUCGGAUUGUAAAGCACUUUAAGUUGGGAGGAAGGGCAGUAAGUUAAUACCUUGCUGUUUUGACGUUACCAACAGAAUAAGCACCGGCUAACUUCGUG